CAGAUGAUGUAAUCCUGGUGGCUUCCUCGAUCAGGUCCAGGGGGCCUGUCCCCCUGAGCUAAUUGCCCUGUUUCACACCUGUUCCUUCUCAGGAGGCCCUGGCACCCUAGCACCUGGUGCCUGCGCCACCUCCUCUCUCAGCCAGGACACCCUCUGGCCCUCGUGGAUGGCCAGGCCCCUCCACAGCCUGGGGCUUGGGGGUGGGGUUGUUUCCUUCUCACUUCUGCGGGAGGCCAGUUGCUGUUCUGUGAGUGUUGCAAGCCCAGGGCUCCGAGGCGGUGGGCCGCCUGGUUGUCCAUCUGAUGAGGGAGGGGAGCCGUGGUUUCUGCAGUGAGCUCUCACACCACAUGUGCUCUGCCCGGCUCCCUGAAUCUUCUUAAAGGAAGGGUCUCUGUGCUGUGUAGACAGCAACUGCUGUUUGGCCCAAAUCCUCACUCAGACCCUCCUUCUCUGGUUGAGAAAGUGGAGACAACUCACAAUCUACAGUUUGAACUGGCUCCAACAGACCCUCCAGUUCCAAGAAGCCUUCGCUGACCCCAUGCGAGUUCAGCACGCUCCUCCCAGGGCUGCUCCCUUUGAACUUCUCCCCUGCACCUUCGGCCAGAGCGUGUCAACACCCUGGCCAUCACUCUUCCUGCAGCGGCUGACAACACAGGCCCCCGCCAAGGCUGCUCCGGGAGAAGAAAGCAAAAUUAUUUCCACAGUGGAGGUGGUGCUGAGCACAAGAGUCGGAAUCUAGCUGAAAGUUUCUUCAAGGUGGUUUUCGUGGAAAACCAGCCACUGAAGCAUCCUGAAUUCCCCCAAGAUCAGUGAUGGAGCCUCCUACCAUGAACCUCUGGGGGACCCGCAGUACUUCCGCCAGCUCAGGAUUCAGGAUGCUUUCUAUUCACGAGCUGUCUCCAGGCCUGUGUGCUGAUUAGCUAUGGACAUGCCUGCAUUAAAAGUGAUUUCAUUUUCAGAUCUACAAACAGUACCAGCCUUCCCACUUCACAAGUCCAGAAAAGGGUUACAAGGUCAGAGCUCUGGCAUACUUCUAAAGAAUGUCCCCCAAAAGGGGUCCAGAGGACACGGCUCUCCCUCUCAAGGCCGCUGAACGCCCAGCCCGCACAGCCUAUGAACGUCUAGGGCCAACAGAAUCUGGAGGUGCCUCAAAUGCACAGCAAGGUUGGUUGUAUGAGCAGAUGAGACUGAGUUUGGAGAAGGGGAAAGGCAGGAAUCAGAAGCACCAUGAGACCAAACAGAUGGAAGCUCAUCUCUUGAGAACUUGCCAAUUAAGAAAAAGGAGUGUGAGCAAAACUCCCGUGCAAUUUAGGCAGAUGACGAUGACCAAGGAGCCCAACCUGAUGGAAUAGACAGAAUGGUGUAUGAGGAUAGGAUAGCAUCAGAGAUCAGAACGCAGAGCAGUGAGAGAAGCCAAAAGUAAGAUCCAUAGGCAGGAACUCUACUGUAGAGCCCAAAGCUGCCCAUUCCUAUUCCCGGUCUCCUGCUGGACUAGGGAAACCUAGAAACCAGCCCUGGGCAAGGGCUCAGGCAGGUGGGACAACUUUGUAGCCUGAUGCUUGGGUUCGGAACUAGGGCUCUAGUCUCUCUUCCUAGGUUCUGGAAGGGCCCAGGGAGGUGGGUUAGCAGCCCAGGAGGGGAGAAGGCAUAAAAGCACAGCAGAGUGCUAUGGCUUGAACUUAGUGCUCUGCUUACCUCUUGGUACCCACCGUGGUUUGCCUCUUUAGCACCCAUCUCCCCUUCUGGGGAAUAGCCCUUGAUAUUCCCUUGGGAAGUCAUCUCUUCCCUACUCUCAGCCCCUGUGCUCUGUGUAGAGUUCCCACAUCCAGCAACCAGAGUAGGCCAUGUGACCACCACUAGCCAAUCAAAGCACUGUGCCUCCCUGGCCACUGGGAUUGGUUCAGAGGAAAGUAGUCACCUGAGGUCGCUGAUGUUGCUGCAGUCAUUUGCCUCCAAGCAGAUCCAAGACUGAAGGAUAAAAGGGAGCAGAGCAAAGAGGAGACAGUUUCUAAAGAUGCUGUUGGAGCCCUUGAAUUCAGCUGUGCCUGGAGCUAGCCCCUGUUCCUGGGUUUUCAGUUGCAUAUAUCAGUAAAUUCCCUUAGCAGAAAUCAACUUGGUUUGGAUUUUCUAUCAUUUUCAACCAAAGCGUCCUAACAGAAAGCUGCAACAGCUGAAGACCACCUAUUCCCAGACCCCAUCAGUUCAUUGACAGACAGCAGGUUCCUGGCAUGGUAUGAGGCCAUGCUCUCAUUGGCUCAAGGCCCAGCCGGGAAAAGCAGAGCAGAAGAGACAAAUCCAGGCUGUGCUGGAGGGGCCUCUGCCUCGGUGGUCGGGAGAAAGCAACUGCUCUAUCUCUGGCCUGCCCUUCAGACUGCAGAGCUGCGGGUCAUCGGCCUAAACCGCUUCAGUGCACACCACGCCUGGGUCUACGUGGAAAUGGUGGCACACACUUAAAUGGAAUGUCCAACCUUUGUCUUCAGCCCUGAAACCACAGAUCCUGUGGUUCUGUAGCAGGUGGAAGCAGGCUGGUAAAGGGGAAGGACCACAGACCGUGGCGGAUCCAUGUCCACCCGUCAGCUCUGCCUCUCCCUUCGUGACUUGGGGGGAGUUCCUCCACCUCCAAGCCUCCUUCUUCGCCUCUUAUUCACCAAGAGACAAUAACCGAAAAUGCUCAUCCUGUGAGGACCCCGGGAAUGAAAUGAAAUCACACAUGUGAGGCAUGUAGCAUCUUGCUGGACAUAGGCCAGGUGCUGAAAACAGGGGUCAGUGGCUAAUAGAAAGUGGCUUUUUACCUCCUGUUUCUACUAUAAACUUAUAUAAACAUAUUACCAAAGCCUUAGGAAAUAGAAAAAGCCACCCAUAUUCAUAACUAUUAUCAUUAUUGUAUAUUCCCUCCAGGAUUUUUCCAAUGCAUGGGUUUUUUUUUCUUUUUCUCACAGAUACAGUUAGUUUGUCUUUGUAAUCUCAGUGUCUGUGAAUAAAGUUUUAUUAACACACAGUUGGGCCAGGUUUUUUUUAUGUCUUAUCUAUGGCUGCUUUAGUGCUCAGCAGAGUUGAAUAGUUGUGAGAACCAU